UACGUAGGGUGCGAGCGUUGUCCGGAAUUAUUGGGCGUAAAGAGCUCGUAGGCGGUCUGUCGCGUCGAUCGUGAAAACUUGGGGCUUAACCCUGAGCUUGCGGUCGAUACGGGCAUGACUGGAGUUCGGCAGGGGAGACUGGAAUUCCUGGUGUAGCGGUGGAAAUGCGCAGAUAUCAAGAGGAACACCAGUGGCGAAGGCGAGUCCCUGGACGAUACCUGACACUGAGGCACGAAAGCCAAGGGAGCAAACAGG
rnacentral:rRNA from 1 species